GUAAAACAGGUAGAAUUAGCCCGUCCCACUCUAAGGGGUAGUUGAGGCCUCGAGAGAAGUCUAGAGGAAGGAGACCUCCAGAGAUGACUCCAUCUCUUCCUCCUCUCCAGGUGUUCUUUAUUUUAUGAAUGAAGCCAGAGCAGCCCACCUUCCUGCAUCUCUACCAUCAUGGCACCAUGCCCUCUGAUGGGUGGGCUGGAGUCAAAUACGUAGCAGGCAGCCAGGGUCAGUUUGUGGCCACUGCUGCCCCCUCUUCCUACAGUCUCCCCACCAAGUGCCCCUUCCCUGAUGGUUCAACACGUCUGUGCUCCUGUAAGCCCUCAGCUUCCUCAUUCUCUUCCUCAACUUCUACCACCAGACACACCUGAGGGGCAAGCAAGACAGGCUGAACUAAGGGCAGGACCCAGGGACUGAAACCAGCACAGUGUCCCCACAGAGAAUUGGGUGGAAGGCAGCGUGGCUUCCAGCUUACUGGUGCCGAGCAGAUUCCUCUGGGUGCCGAGCAGAUUCCUCUGGGUUUCCAUUGUAUCCUCUGAAGCAAGGAGGAGGAUUGUCUUCUGUCCAGAUCUCAGGAUCAAAGAAAUAGGUCCAACUUCCUGUGCUCCCUUCAGUUAGAGCACUUCCCAUGUGACUUUGUAGCUUUGUGUGCAUCUCCUUCCCCUGCUAGACCUGAACCCCCCACGGGAGGGACUCUCUUAUUCUGAAUGUUCCCCACACCUGGAAUUUUAAUAAACAUCUCAA